rnacentral:rRNA from 1 species
GUUCCUGGCUCAGGAUGAACGCUAGCUACAGGCUUAACACAUGCAAGUCGAGGGGCAGCAUGGUCUUAGCUUGCUAAGACCGAUGGCGACCGGCGUACGGGUGAGUAACGCGUAUCCAACCUGCCUUACACUCUUGGACAGCCUUCUGAAAGGGAGAUUAAUACAAGAUGUUAUCAUGAGUAAGCAUUUUCGCAUGAUUAAAGGUUUACCGGUGUAAGAUGGGGAUGCGUUCCAUUAGGUAGG